UAGGGAAUAUUGGUCAAUGGGUGAGAGCCUGAACCAGCCAUGCCGCGUGCAGGAAGACGGCCUUCUGGGUUGUAAACUGCUUUUAUCUGGGGAUAAAAAGCCCAUGCGUGGGACAUUGAAGGUACCAGAUGAAUAAGCACCGGCUAACUACGUGCCAGCAGCCGCGGUAAUACGUAGGGUGCAAGCGUUGUCCGGAUUUAUUGGGUUUAAAGGGUGCGUAGGCGGUCUAUUAAGUCAGUGGUGAAAUCCAACAGCUCAACUGUUGAUGUGCCAAUGAUACUGAUGGACUUGAGUACAGACGAGGUAGGCGGAAUUGACAGUGUAGCGGUGAAAUGCAUAGAUAUUGUCAAGAACACCGAUAGCGAAGGCAGCUUGCUAGCCUGUAACUGACGCUGAGGCACGAAAGUAUGAGGAUCAAACA
rnacentral:rRNA from 1 species